rnacentral:rRNA from 1 species
GAUGAACGCUGGCGGCGUGCUUAACACAUGCAAGUCGAACGGAAAGGCUCCUGCUUGCAGGGGUACUCGAGUGGCGAACGGGUGAGUAACACGUGGGUGAUCUGCCCUGCACUUCGGGAUAAGCCUGGGAAACUGGGUCUAAUACCGGAUAGGACGAUGGUUUGGAUGCCAUUGUGGAAAGUUUUUCGGUGUGGGAUGAGCUCGCGGCCUAUCAGCUUGUUGGUGGGGUAAUGGCCUACCAAGGCGUCGACGGGUAGCCGGCCUGAGAGGGUGUACGGCCACAUUGGGACUGAGAUACGGCCCAGACUCCUACGGGAGGCAGCAGUGGGGAAUAUUGCACAAUGGGCGCAAGCCUGAUGCAGCGACGCCGCGUGGGGGAUGACGGCCUUCGGGUUGUAAACUCCUUUCGCUAGGGACGAAGCGCAAGUGACGGUACCUGGAGAAGAAGCACCAGCUAACUACGUG